GACGAACGCUGGCGGCGUGCUUAACACAUGCAAGUCGAACGGAAAGGCCCCUUUGGGGGUCCUCGAGUGGCGAACGGGUGAGUAACACGUGAGUAACCUGCCCUUGACUUCGGGAUAACUUCAGGAAACUGGGGCCAAUACCGGAUAGGAAUCCUUGCUGCAUGGUGGGGGUUGGAAAGCUUCGGCGGUUUUGGAUGGACUCGCGGCUUAUCAGCUUGUUGGUGGGGUAGUGGCUUACCAAGGCUUUGACGGGUAGCCGGCCAGAGAGGGCGACCGGCCACGUUGGGACUGAGAUACGGCCCAGACUCCGACGGGAGGCAGCAGUGGGGAAUAUUGCACAAUGGGCGGAAGCCUGAUGCAGCAACGCCGCGGGCGGGAUGACGGCCUUCGGGUUGUAAACCGCUUUCAGCAGGGGCGAAGCUUGUGGUGACGGUACCUGCAGAAGAAGCACCGGCUAACUACGUG
rnacentral:rRNA from 1 species